rnacentral:rRNA from 1 species
GUGAGGAAUAUUGGACAAUGGGCGCAAGCCUGAUCCAGCCAUGCCGCGUGCAGGAAGACGCAUCUAUGGUGUGUAAACUGCUUUUGUACGGGAAGAAACACUCCCUCGUGAGGGAGCUUGACGGUACCGUAAGAAUAAGGAUCGGCUAACUCCGUGCCAGCAGCCGCGGUAAUACGGAGGAUCCAAGCGUUAUCCGGAAUCUUUGGGUUUAAAGGGUCCGUAGGCGGUUUAAUAAGUCAGUGGUGAAAGCCCAUCGCUCAACGAUGGAACGGCCAUUGAUACUGUUAGACUUGAAUUACAAGGAAGUAACUAGAAUAUGUAGUGUAGCGGUGAAAUGCUUAGAUAUUACAUGGAAUACCAAUUGCGAAGGCAGGUUACUACUUGUGGAUUGACGCUGAUGGACGAAAGCGUGGGGAGCGAACAGGAUUAGAAACCCGUGUAGUCC